GACGAACGCUGGCGGCGUGCUUAACACAUGCAAGUCGAACGGAGUGUCGAACGGGUGAGUAACACGUGGGUGACCUGCCCUGCACUUCGGGAUAAGCCUGGGUCACUGGGUCUACUACCGGCUCGUUUGGGAUGGGCCCGCGGCCGAUCAGCUUGUGGGUGUGGUAAUGGCCUACCAAGGCGGCGACGGGUAGCCGGCCUGAGAGGGUGGACGGCCACAUUGGGACUGCGAGACGGCCCAGAGUCGUACGGGAGGCAGCAGUGGGGAAUAUUGCACAAUGGGCGGGAGCCUGAUGCAGCGACGCCGGGGGGGGGAUGACGGCCUUCGGGUUGUAAACUCCUUUCACCAUCGACGCGGUAGAUGGAGAAGAAGCACCGGCUAACUACGUGCCAGCAGCCGCGGUAAUAC
rnacentral:rRNA from 1 species